UCUGGUAUCUGACCUUUGCCUUGAUCUUUUGGCUUCUUUUUGGAUUUGCCUUUAUAAUGUAUUGGAUAUUGUCAUGUUUGACCCCAGAGUGUUAGUCCCAGUUUAACCUUUCUUGAAUAACAAAGAAAUAGUCUGUAUGAUAUCUAGCAGGUGUUGGGUUUUCUUACCCUGAAGACUUUCCCAGGUAGAAUACGGUGCUCUUCUUCGCACCUGUAUCCUGGGAGGUGUGUCUUUGUUUCUUGAUGGAAAAAUCUUUCGCUACUGAUGGUUGUUCUAUCUGUAACAUUUGACCAGAUGAUUGGAAACCAAAAGUGAGUUCCAAAAGUGAAAUCAGUUGGAAGACUAUGGAGUACAUGAUUGGUAAUGCUUAGGUUCAGAUAUGGGUCUCCCCUGGUACCCUUCUAUCAACCUUUUUUUUUAGAACUUAUAUAGACAACUACUUGGAUGUUGCUCCAAACAUGCCAGUAGGUGGACUGACUACUAAAUUGCCCCUUGGUGUGAACGAGUGUGUGAAUGUGUAUGUACAUUGUGUCAUGUGAUGGACUGGCAUCCCAUCCAGGGUUUAUUCCUGCCAUGUGUUCAGUGUUCCCAGGAUAGGCUUCAGCUCCAUGACUAGGAAACUGCUUACUGAAGAUGAAUGAAUUAAUGAAAUAAAAAAAAGUAUAUCCUUUACAGCUUGUGUAUGUGGAACAUACAGUUAUAGAAGUCAGUAGAAGGUGUAGUGUAAAUUAAGGCAUCAUAACUCAGAUAACUCUGGACACUGAUGAAUAUGGGUUGUGACUGAUGGAAUUGUAGCCUCUGUGUGACCCUUCGUUCACCAGAGCUUGACAUGGCCACUGAUUAACACCAGCUCUGAGAGGUUUCUGUAAAGAUCAUAUGGUCACUCAAAGGACAUUGGAAAAUAUAUGUUGAUGCAGAGACUAUCUAUGUGACCAUAAAAGCCUUAUUACACAGACAAGAUGUUGGCGCUGGUUCAGAGCCACUCUGUAAAAGAGCUAGUUGUUAAAAUAAGUUUGGUUUCAACACCAAACUACUGCUGGUCCAGAAUGAAGAAUCAUGACCAAGCUGAAGAAGGGAUAUAUAGUGUUAUAAACUCAAUGUAAGCUAGUGUGCCAUUGCUAUUGCUUGGUUCAGUGUUGUUGUUGUUCUUUCGGCUGCUCCCAUUAGGGGUUGCCACAGCAGAUCAUUGGUCUGCAUAUUUGAUUUGUCACAGUUUUUUAUGCCGGAUGCCCUUCCUGAUGCAACCCUCCCCAGUUUCAUCCGGGCUUGGGACCGGCACUGGGAGUGUAUUGUCGUGUACAACCCCAGUGGCUGGGAUUGGCUCCCUGGCAGGCAAUCAAACCCGGGCCGUGGUGGUGAAUGGACUGAGGCCUAACAACUUCUCCUCCAUGGACCCCUUGGUUCUUAGAUAAUUAAAAACAAUAAAACAUGUCUCAUCCCCAAGUUUGACAAGGUCAUGGUUUUAAUCCCAAACUGGGUCUGUUCUGGAUCAAGGUUGCAGGUGGAAAAAGAAGGUCGCUGGGUGUCAUCUUGUUGGGCUAGAUUUAAAAUAGUCCACGACUGCCAAGAUCUUGUUUCAAAGCUAAUAGUCAGAAUUAAAAGUAACAACAAAUAACAAAAAUGUUUGUCAUACAUACUGCAAAUCAGAAGUGUGUGAGCACCAUGGUCAGCUUGUUUCGCACACAAAGACUGAAAAAAAAAAAGAAGAAAAAUGUGUCUCCUUUUCCAGUGCCUGUACUUCUUUGGGCUAGUUUAUAGUCUUUUGUGUGGUUCUGGAGAAGAUUUAUUCCAGAAAUGUUACUUUUACAAGAUAAUACAUGGCAACUCUGCUCAUCUUUGCAUAUACUAAUCAUUAUCUAUGAUGAAAUAUGUUCUCAAAACAAAAUAGUGCAAACUCCAGGGAACUCAGGAAACUCCAACACUUGAUUAUUUAACAGUUUGACUCUAAAACUGGCGGAAAUGCAGACUCGUUCUUAAGCACUGUCACUGUGUUAUUGAAACACAGUUAUUGAAACGGCUUUGUUAACAGAUGUCUAAAAGCUAGCCAUAAGUGAGGCAGGGGUUAACAGUUACAUGUUGCUAACACAGAUUUAUCUGGCAGUUAAUUAAUGAAAGCAACAUGAGUUGUGGGAGUGAAGGGGCGGGAGAGACUGGUUCGGCUUUGCCUAACGAAGCUGGAUGAAGCAUGUUAUGAAGAUAUGAGAAUCCAAGGACCUUCAGAGGUGAAGGCACGGCCAUCAAACAUAAUUCACAUUCAUGUCUAAUUUGUGCUGGAGUGAUGAAAAGCCCUUGAUUGGGCUGCGGAAGAUUAAGAGCCCACGGACACGUGGUGAACUCACCACAGCACUUCCCACCGUGCCAUCAAAUGUCCCCUGCAGUCCAUAAAUCAAACUUUGGACUGGGGUGAAUUGGACACAUGGCUCUUAGUUAAGGAAUUAAGUUAAAUUCAGACCACAAAGAGCCAAUUUAGACAUCAUAUUCAAAAUAUGCUAGCAGGGCUAAGCCUCCCAGUGUCUUUCAAAUAUAAAGGCCAAUCAGUAUAAGGUUUGAUUUUUAGAACCACAUCAGAUUAUUUGGGGUUUUUAGUAGAACAAAGUGCAACAGUGCUACAAAUAGUUGUAAGAAAAAUACAAAGAAUGGUAUGAAGAAGCGAGGCUGGGACUGAUUUCUUUCUAGCUCAGACUGUAGAUUCAUGCAGCCAUAUCAAGUGAUUACACAGAGUGACACACCCCCAAGAAUGUGUGUCCAUUUGGGCUGGGGAAAGUAGAAGUAGAGAGAAUAAGCACACAUUGUACAGUUACACUGUACAAAUAUAAAAUACUCAACACUUAAAGUAUUAGAAAAUCACAAAUGCAGCUGUCUAUCUGCCUUUAAGUGUGUGUGUGUAAUAGUUCACCCCUCAUCUCUUAUUAGACCAUCGAUGAGACCUCAUGCAUUUCUCAACCCUAAUAGUUUAAUUGUCGAAAUAUUGAUAGUUAUUAGAUUGUAGCCCUCAUAUCGAAUAUCACAACCAGCCAUCACAUGUUCUGAAAAGAUUACGAUGAUGCUGAAACCAAAUGACAGGCCAGUAGAGCUAAAUUCAAUCAAGAAGAGACAAAGUCAGACCCUUGCACUGGUUUUGUCGUAGCCACUGAUAUACAGAUGCCCAAACUGCCUGGUCAACAUUCCAUGUCUCGCGUCAUGUCUGAGCACACGUCACAUUCGGGACAGGUGUGGACAGGCCGGGGCGAGAGAGGGCCCGCAAUCUGUGACGCUCCACUACCACCACCUGACAGCUGAGUGAGGAGAUGGGGAGACUCACUACAUGGCACCUUUCCAGGUUUAUUUGUUACCAGGCUCCGUGAUGCAUGCAAGCAUGACCUAGCUAGUGCACCUAGCAUUCCAAACAAAAGAAAAGAGACAGUGAGCACUCUGGGUACUUCAAAUAGCAAUAGGAAGGGAGGUAAGGGUUUUGUUGGUCAGCAUUUGUCAGUUUGUAAUAGCAGGAGUCCCUCUUCAGUUCCUUCCAGUCAGAUAACAGCCAGGGAAUGCACAUGACUUAAUGCUUCCCCACCUGCCACUUCACAUGCCUUCCUGGAGAAAGUGUGCUCAGCUUAUCAGGACGACGAUGAUGCCGAGGACAGGGGACGCUGAGAGAGCUUCAGCGCUGCUGGAUAAGUGCUACAGGGAGACAGUGUGAGGCAGGUGUCCUGAUUAAUUACCUGGGAGGAAGAUCACGCUAAUCUACCAUCGUCUGGUAGAUCGUGUACUGCACUCUGGUACAAAUCACAAACCACAAUUCAUACACAUGCUCAGCAAAGAGAACUUAACAGUUUGCUUUGAAUACUUUUAUGUAUUUUUGAUGUGAUAUCCAGUAGUGGUGGUAGAAAUAAUUUCACCAUAUGAAUCUUAUUAGAAGUUUCACAAUAUUUGCGUUCAUAUUAUAUUUCCAGAGGCAAAAAUAUCCCUGUUUGAUUUGAAGUUUUAAAUCUCUUAUCCAUUUAGCUAAAAUGAGUGUCAGUGGGUUAAAUGACUCAUGCCUUAAUGUAAGAAAAAUCAUUUAUAGCAUACUUUAUUCAAAUAUAUUAUCUAUUAAUCCCUAUUUGAAUAAAAAAAAGCGAUAGUACAUGUAACUUAUUGAAGCUGUGGCUGAAUCUCUAAUGGCCUUACACUGAAUAUAUAGUGCACUAGAAAGAGUCUGUAAUGACAUUUUCUUAUAUCCUAUGUAGUGAGCAUAUAUAGGGAAUAUAAAGACAUUUGGGAUUUGGUGUCAACAGUGUUAUAGGCAACCUUUUUUGCACUUUUUGUUGAUCCUCAUAAUUCUCUGAAUCACAGCUUGCUAUACAUUAUGAUUUAUAUCAUAUUAAAUAAGUCACACUAUUCAUACUAUGUGCAAAUUUGUGCAAUAUCUUUUCCCCUCUUAUGUGCAAUUGUGUCCUUAUGUUGCUGAUAUUUCAAAGACAACAAAAAUUAUUGACACAAAUAAUAAGGAUAUUGAUAUGGCUUAAACAGACAACCCAUAGAGAUGCUAUUAAAAAAUAAAUAAAUUAAUUAAUUAAUUUUUUUUUUAAUUAUGCCACACUUUUACAUUCAAAUGGCAGCAAUACAUUGUAUGUUUUACUGUAUAUCAUAUUUACUGUAUAUCAUAUCAUAUCUUCUACUGAAAACAUCUUCCCACAUGCAUGGGCUUUUCCAUCCUUAAGACAAGUUGAAGAUGGUUGGAUAAAAUGCUUUAUUUUGGUUUCCUAAAGGCUGGAUUAUACUUGCUUUUAACUACGUGGCUGAUGCUACACAUCUGUGUGGUGCAAUAUCAACAUUUCUAGACAGUUACUGAGUAUUGCCACUAACUAACUGAUAUUCCUAUUAUGUUUAGUGUUUGGACUUUAAAGAAAACUCUCACAUAAUCUUCAAACCAACUGAAAGGUGUUUUGCAUAUCAGUCUUCUGGAUUUCCUAGAUUAGCAGAUACUUUUGAAUGUAAGGUCAGAGUUUUAGACAAUGCUCAUGACAACAAUCACGACGACGGCAGAAAGUUUUAAUGAAGAUCGUCAAAUUUCCGACCACCACAAAUACAUAGUAAAAGUGUAGCUAAUGCUCAUUCUGUCUGUAGUAGUAAUAAUUAUAGGCACAUUAAUAAUCAAAGGAAUAUUAAAUAUUUCAAUAAUUCAAUUCCUUUCAAAGGAAAUUUAACGACCCUACUAUCCAAUAAAGACACCAUGAAAAUAAAAAAACAAUAUUUCCAAAGCUUUGAUUUUUGGAUGGAUGUCAUAAAAUCAGAGAGGACGUGAUAGCUGACAAGACAGUUUUGAAAAAGAGCUUUUGACAAGUCAAAUAGUUUGUUUCUGCAUGGAGAGCCUUAACUCAAGAUGUAUUCCUUGAACUGAAAGACAGACAGGACGACUGUAAGCUCUCGUCUUUUCUGCUCAGCAGCUUCAGUGUUCAGUCUUCAGCCUUCAGUGCUGUGACUCUGGUCUUCAGUGUUGCGACUCAUGCUUGCAUUUCUAUGUGUCAAAUUACUGUAUAUCAAUAAUCCGCAUACAAAUGUACGGAGAAGUGUUUGCCUCCCCCACUGCUCUUCAGACAUUACAGAUGUACAUAAUGUACAUAAUGUAACUUUAUCAGAGUCAUUACUUUACAGAAAGCCUGUUUAGUGGCAUCACAGAGAAGCUUGUCACACACUCUUAUUAAACACCCGCCUGAAGACAGCACUCAUUGCAGUGUCGGAUAAUUAAGAGAGCUUUUUUAAUGGAGUUAUUACAGCUGCCCAGGAUGACGCGGCUACCCAUGAUUCACAGAGAGGGGCCGAAUACAGCCGGCUUUAAUGGGAUCCACAUGGGGGGCUGCUGGGAGUCUUUUGUGUGGUAUCAGUAAGGGGUGCCACUCUUACAGAGUACAGCUAUAGAGGGUACAUUAAUCACUGCAGGGCUUUUUCCUUUUCUGCACAUUUUAAGACCGACUCGGGGCAAAACUAAACCGACAGAAAUAGGCCAUGUUCUCGCUGAUAUCAUAUUACAAUAAUGGAUUACACUGCAUGAGUCCAAGGUAGCAGAGACAAAUUAAGAUUAUGCAAAUUUGACCAUGCUAACUGUCCACAACUAGCAUCAGUUCAUGCUAGCUGGUCAUGACUAGCAUUAUAAGCUACUUCAAGUCCUUUUCUGAUUCUGUCCUUUUCCAGAAAUAUAACAAUAUUAGCCAAAAAAGUCACAAAAGUAGAUUAAUGUGAUCUAGACUUGGCCCAGCUACCAGCUGAAAUUUUCUGGUUGUUCUGAGAAUAUUAUAUAUAGCAUUACACCAUAGCACUACUUAAUUCUUGAUUCUGCUUGGUCCAAUUCAUUUUCUCAUUGACUCAAAGAGUAGUUUGGCUGCAAGACAAAGCCCGGCUUUAUGUUAAUGUGCUAAUAUGUUACCAUAAAAUAAUGUUGAAAUACGUUAACGUUUAACUUGUAUACUAGGUUUCUGUUGGUGUACGUUGGUGGAUGUUCCACGUAACUGGAACUACCUUGUUUCAUAUACGUUCCACAACUUAAAUGUAACUAUAAAUAGAUAAAACAUACAUGUCAUUCUUUAAAUAAAAUAAAGAUUGUUAGUGUUGGCAAAUUACUGUGGUAUAAAAGAAAUAAAACACAUCAGGAUGUGGAAAAUAAUCAUCUACCUUGGCUUGCUUUAUUACUAUAAAGUUGCUGCAGCAUUUUCAGUUAUAGGAAAAUUAACGCUAUGAUUUACUGAGCAUUGUGUGAGUGACAUUCUAAUAACACGCUGAAGCAAACCAUCAUUACAGCAGAUGUUAACAGAACACUGCAGAAAUACUGCAUUUUUGGAAAGCUACAGCCGGACCUUCUUGUAACUUGCUGAAUUUUUGCUAAACAUUCUAAUCAGAUUCUAAGUUAGCUAGGUUUCAGUUACAGAAACAUAAAAUGUGUCCAAUCCAGUGGUGUCCAAUGGACUUGUGUCCCACCUACAGUGUAUCCACACCUCAUAGCCAGUUUUAUCAGAAUAGGCUCAAGAUCCACAGAGACUCUGACCAGAACAAAGCACUUAUUGAAUUCGAAUAAAUGAAUGUUUGGCAAGACUUCGCAAUAAAUCAAUGUUCGGUGUGUGAUUAUAUACUAUAGAGUCAGGAAGUGAACUGGACAUGGAGGUCAGGUUAGAAUUCCAGAUUAGAUUCAAGAUGAAAACGGUGUAUAUUGGGAAACUUACAGUGUUUAGUUAUACUGAUCCAAUUUUCUGAAAAAUCACAUAUUAGUUCACAAAUGAAAACCUUUUAGCACCUCAAGCUCAGAACAGGUUAACAAAAUAGACAGACAUUGACAUGUUAUUCCACACACAUUUCAUCCAGCUCUAUAAAAAGUGAGCAAGAGACACCACACACUGAUAUAAAGGGGAGAAAAGCCUCCAAUUUGUUCAUUUGUGGGUUUUUUCAUAAUGCAAAAAAAAAUGCCAAAAAUAUCUCAACAGUCACCAGGGACUGAAUGACACCAGGGAGAAAACAUUACACAUGUGGAGAAAUUGAAGUGCCAAUAUGAGCAGUCUAGAAGAGAGCUUGAAGAGGAAAAAACAGGAACUUGAUAGACAUGAAGUGGGAGAGAGAGAGAGGAAAUCUCUUUGGCCAGCCAUGCUUGACCAUGCUCCUUGGAAAGCCCUUCUCUCCCCUCGUGCUUUGGCUCAUGUGCUGCAUGGAAAUGAACCAGCACUUCACUGCUCCACUCGUCCCCGUAAUACACUCUCUGUAGUGGUGACGGCCCACUAAUGAGUACACUUCCAGCCAUUAGGCUGCUUACGACAGCUAGUGUGCUGCUAAGCCCCAGGGGUUGCAACGCACCAUGUCCUCUAGGCUUUUAAGCCUCUGCGCAGUUAUAUCGCAAUGUGUUACAUUUUAUUGUCCAUAUAAUGGUGCUACUUUUAGGGGUGGAUGACACGGACUAGGGUUAGAUUCUAAAAAUAACAAGAAAAUGAGAAUACCAUUGCAUGACUACUGAGCGCCAUUUAUCAGAUACAAGUACCGUCACCAUCAACUGAGGAAAAACUCACUGAUAAUGUAACAUAGGGAACGAAACAUGAGAUAGCAUGCUGUUAUAGCAAAAGAAUCAAUGACAAGGUGGUGUGAUGUGGGUUAACACAAAGUGGAGUUACUUUUACCACCUCCAAGUUGAUUAUUUUCCAAUAAUAGCAUUUCCUAUAGCGAUGUAUUCCUUUUAUACUGCAGCAAUUUAUCGAUGGUUUAUUAACAAAUGACAUACUUUAUAUCCGUUUAUAGUUACAUCUCGUGUUGUGAAACAAUUUAGUUAUGGUUAUCACUUACAUUAUAGCAGCUAUAAACAUUUUAUAGAAGAGCCUCACCAGCCUCUUGAAAUUAAUAAGACGAAUAUGCAGCUUGUCAUGUUUCCUAGAAAACCAGAAAAAGCACAAGACACUGUCCUGAAGGCUUUCCCAUGGUGGAAAACAGUGUUACAGUGACUGUUAUAAAGUGCUGACACUGGAGACUCCUUCCGUAAACAUUAAAUAAACAUCUCCUUACAGAAAACUUCAUAAACAAUUAUCAACAACAUUUCUGUUUUGUUAAAUAAACUGCUUAUUUUUAGUCUUCGAUUAUGUGAAGUCUUGAUCAUACAAGUCGGUGAGAAUAAUGUACACAUCCUAGAGUUAUUACAGAGAUAACUCUCGCCCUGUUUCUGUUGUGCAAGGGCAGUGAAGAUCCAGGCAGAUCCAGGUCAGUUGAAGCUGAGCAGUGUGCAGUAGAAUGCAUAGGCUUAGCUGGCUCAGUUUUUGUCUCUACAGGCAUGAGGCAGGCAUUUCCUCCCUUUAAUCCUACCAGUUUACAAGACAGCCACUUUAUAGGGUCAUUGUGAAUGGCUGUUUCCCUCCAUUUAGCCAGCGCGCCACACUCAUUCCAGCUAGUUUAACGCUGCCACGGCUCCACGAAGAAGGAUUACUCUCGGGUCCGUGUUGCUUUGGAAGGUCCAUGCAGCACAGCCAGCAUGCGGUUGUUUGUAUGUCAGCCUUUUAAAAUGGACAAAUCAAUCAAACAAUGCUAACAAGGCUAGCAGCAGUGCAGCUAGUUAGCAUGGUAAGGCUAAACAAUACAAUUAGCUUUCAAAUAGCAGCACGCAGUUUAUGCUAUGUUAUAAAUAAUGAAUGAAAGCUGCAAAGAUGUAAAGUAAAAGUUCGUGGUCAUUGAGAUCAUGAGAUUUCCAGGCAGCAAGAGCCACAGCUAAUAACAAUAAGCUAUCGAACUGUAUAGGUUAAUCCAUUUCAAGCACACACACACAGUACAGCUAAAACAGAAACAAUUACAUAAACCUAAAAAAAAAAGCUAUUAAAUCUGUGACCUUUCCCCAUCGUGGAACUGAGCUUGCGCGCCAUUAUAACUCGUGUUAAUUUUGUUAGUGUGACUGAAUGUGUGCGAGGCUGAAAAGUAAAGGCCACUUUGCCAUUUUAAGAGAAAAAACUGCUAAAUGCAUGCCUUUUAUAAGUGGUAAUGCAUGCAUAAGCAGGCACUUGAAAUUCACUGUCAGCAAACAUCAGAAGGGAGGAAAUUUGCUGCAUGAGCAACUUGUAGCAGGUUGGUAAUGAUGAGGCCAGAGGACUCAACCCUGACCAAGUUAUUAUCCUGCCAUCAGAUUUUAUAUUUAAAAUGACAACUCUACAACUCUUCUCACCACUCGCUAACUGGCACACGUCCAGCAGGCUCGCAUGUCCUUCACCAGGACACUGCUGCUUCUCUUUAUUUUAUUUUAUAUGGAUACUAUUCAAAUAAUGGAAUAAGAUGUUCAUCUCGAGUCUUUUGUAAGAAUAUCAUUCUAACUAAUUAAGGUUCCCACUGGGGAGACUGUGAAGUUGGCCAUGGGCAAAGACUGAAAGAAAUCAGUGAGGGGGAAAAAAAGAGGCAAGAAAAAGAAAAAAAAGGAGAAAAAUCCAAUUCCAUCACAGAGGAGCGUAACAAAGAGGGCGGUGGCCGAUACCACACAAAAGCGGAAUGAAUUCACAACAGCCGAAGCGCAAAGGCAUUCUUUUACUUCCUAUUAUAGCGCACGUCCGAGAUGUUGUGAUCUGAUUCUCGACGGAGUCUCGGCGCUUUUCCGAUCUUUCUGAAUUCCAAAGCCGCUUCAUCCAUUAUCUUUUAAUAGGAGGGUGAUUGCUCCACAAUGCAAUCGCUACUGCUCACAGCAUCCACACAAUGAAGGGAAAUAAAUAAAGAAAGAAAACCACCGUGGACGACAAAACAGACAACAAUGAGUGAAUGUGCUCACAUAAUGAUUAUGGCAUUGAUAAAAUGUGCGGGCUAUAAUUUACACUAAAUAGCUUUGCUCUAUCCGAAAUCUCUAAAAAGCCUUUGGAGGCUGACAAGAGGCUAUGCAUUGGUUUUACUAUAUUACUACUAUUAUUAAUAAUACAGUGUCUAUUUGCAUUACAAGCCAUACAUUACGACUAUUUACACUAUUAAACCUCAAAACACACAGAACACACAGAUAUGUGCAUAGCACGUCUUGAUUUUGCGACAUAUGGUCGGCCAAACUUAAUCAUAUAUCAUCACCACUAACGGUUCAUUUGACUUCUUUAGCUCAAUGUCCUGCUUAGCAUAAAAUAUUGCUUUUAAAAGCAUUCCCACCUACAGUUUAGCUACAUCAUCUAAGCGUUCCAGCUAGCUACUACUCUCUAAUGUUAGAGAGCUAACUAGCUAUCUUGUUAACGUUACCCCUCCACGCGUAACAAUACAACUUUAGUAGCUAGUUAAGUUCUGUAAAAACCUACCUAAUGUUAGGAGAGAUUUUAUAUUAUGUAACUAAAAAUGAGGAAUGGUAAACUAACAAACAUAUAACUAUUAUAACUAUUAUAUCUUGACUAUAAUAGACUGUGAUAAAAUGUUCUCUGUGUCUGAUUAUACGAUGAAGAUCCUCUAACGAUAGACCUGUGAUUAAAGAAAUUCACUACGCUCUGCUUACAUCAUCAAUCAGCGUGAUCCAGGCUCAAAGUGAGCUUGAGGUUAUAUUUUUUUCUGUCCGUUUGCAUGUUUUGUUUACGUUUGACCAUUGCCACUACUGUGUUUGUUGCUGUCCUAUGAGUUUAUCAUCCUGUGCUGUCCUGCUAUUGGUGGAGUUUAGGCGAGCAUCGUAGCAACGCUCACACUCCGACACUGCCAGAGCUUUGAUUGGCUGUCUUGGGUCGUAAUGGCAUUAAAUCAGAAAUCGUAAGGAUGGAUAAUGGAGGUAUGGUUAGCAUGUGUUGAGAAAUGAUCCCUCUAAAGCCUCCACUUCACACACUGGAUCAAGGCGGAACCUCAUGAGCACCAGCAGAGGAGAUAAGUGUGAAUAAAGAUGGUGCAUGCUGGGUAUUGCCUCUCCUCUGAUUAAUUGCACUGAGGAGGCAUUAAGAAGAAGCACAUAUUAUCUGCUGCCCAUUUGGCUCGUGUUCCUCCCUACAUGCGUAAUUAUUAUGUCUUUCUGACAUAUACGGUAUUUCAGCCAUGCGUCUGUCACCGACGAGUCUUCGUAAGCCUGUGGACUGUGAUCACCCUCAGACGUUUGAUGGGAAACAGGUAGACAGUGGUAUGAUUUUUUAUUUUUUUUUUCAUUUGUUUGUUUGUUUUUAUUGAGCAUAAUUCCUGUGUGUGAGAAAGCCAAGAGAGCAAGUGACAAAAAUAGUGAGUAUGCGAUGAGUCAGAGUGUGUAUUCAGGCCUACAGGUUCUCCAGCGACCCAUCACUGGAUAUGGCACUUCUUCUUCUUCCUCUCUCUCUCUCUCUUUCUUUCUCUCUAGCUCUCUCCUGCACACUUUUGAUAAAAAGCAUGCUCAAUUUCAGAACAACUUAUUUUGACAAGCAAUCGUUAUCCAUGGAUAGGUGCUGGAAAACCGAUGCGGUACAUUUCAGUGACGUAAGCGCCGGGAACAGGUACACAUUUACAAUAUCUGCCUCAUAUUACUGCAAACUCUUAGGCCUGGCUAGCUCAGUUGAUAGAGCAUGAGACUUUUACUCUUUUACAGGAUCGUGGAUUUGAGCCACACCCUGGGCACCAAACCCAUCCACUGGGGUUGUACAAGCUAGUGCAAUGUCAGUGCCGGUCCCAAGCCCGGGAAAAAACGGGAGGGUUGUGUCGUGUCAGGAAGGGCAUCCGGCAUAAAACUUGUGCCAAAUCAAAUAUGCGGAUCAUAAACCAGAUUUCCAUAAUGGAGACGGAUGAUCCACUGUGGUGACCCCUAAUGGGAGCAGCCAGAAGAAGGAAAUUACUGCGAAAUCUCCUUUGGGUACAUUUUGCCAUAAUAUAGCAAAUUUUCAAGCAGCAGUGGACUAAUAACAACCGCUUGCAAAGCAGAGAGCCAGUGUCCAGAAAUGUUAUACAGGAAGAAAUUCAAAUCACAUGCAAACUGCUGCUGUAACUUUAUGGAAUCAGCUUUAGUGCUAGGAAUAAAGCCAGCUCAUCACUAACCGUUACUGUCCUGGCAUACGUGUUUAUUACAACAUCAAAAUAUACUAAUUAUGUUAGAAAUGCUUGUAAAUUUAUAGAUGUCCCUGAGGAAACAUAUUCCAAAUGGCUGCAUUUCAGUCACAGAUUUUAAUGUUUAGAAAUAAAAAAGUACAAAAAAAAAAAAAAAAAAACUCCUACUACCCAAAUUCUCCUGGUGAAUUUACAUAAAUAUUACUGUAUCAUGGAUAAUUUUGGAUGUGUUAAUUAUUUAGGUUUGUCUAGUAUUUUUUUUUCUAUUUUUAUUUCUUUUUUUAUUAUUUGUUUUAAUUGACCUAAUCUAUUUAAAUUGUUCAACUCCUAUCCAAAUACUACAAAAACAUUCUCACAAUACACAGUGUAAAAUAAUAAUAUAAAAUAGAAGUCCCUCCUUUAAAAAAAAAAAGAACAAUGAGGAAAUAAUGAGUUCAUUUGUAUUUUUAUUUAAUAAAAUCAAGCCAUUAAAGUAAAUCUUAACAUGGUACAUGUAGGAAAAUGAAAUAUUAAGUUAAAAAAAUGUCUUGAUCGAAUCAGUUGUUGCUGUGUGUAAAAUUAGAGUUUGUCAGUGUUACGUCACAUAACAAUAAAAAGUAUCACAAUAUCAUAUCAUCAUCAGGUCAUCCAGCCUUAACUCUAAUCAUAAAAUAUAACUUAAUAAUUACCUAAAAAUAAUAAUAAAUCUUAAAUUUAAAAAUGAUGACAAGAAGUUGGGAUGCAGUGUUCAAAUUGUUCUAGUUAUUAUUAUUAUCAUUAUUAUUAUUAUUAUUAUUAUUAUUAUUAUUAUUAUGAGCUCAUAAAGUUGUAACACUUCACAUGACUCAAGUCAUAUGAAAAGUUAUGAAGGUUAGGUUGUGGGUUACAGGCGUGGUUAGUGUUUGUAUCUUUGCAUAAGACUUUCAUUCACUCAUCUUCAGUAAGCGCUUUAUCCCGAUCAGUGUCAUCUUGGAUCCGGAGUCUAUCCCGGGAACACACAGGAAUACACCCUGGAUAGGACAUCAGUCCAUCAUAGUGCAACAUUCACACACACUUUCACAACUAGGGGCAAUUUAGCAUAUUCAAUCCACCUACUGACAUGUUUAUAGGAGGGGGAAGAAACCGGAGAACCUGGAGGAAACCCACACAGAUACGAGGAGAACAUGUGAAACUCCACACUGACAGUAAUGUGAGCUCAGGAUUGAACUGGAGACUCUGGAGCUGUGACCAUCACCUUGGCUUGUUUGAAUUUAUACAAAUAUCUCAUAACGGUAGUUUAACAAAAAAAGCGUAAAAAAAAAAAAACAUUCCGAUUGUGAUUUGUA